rnacentral:lncRNA from 1 species
GAAAAGGUAAGAAUAAUCAGAGUAAAGCGGAAAUAGAUGAGAAAAGAUUAAGAAAAGUUUAGAAAAGAAUCAGAGUAGCAAAGGUAAGUAGACAAUGGUUGUCCAGUUCUAUCUAGGUUUCGUCCUACAGUCAACAUUCCUCUGAUACCACUUCUGUCACACCCGGGUUUUAGGGCACCAAGACCCGGGCGCGAACAUAAUCACCAGGUGCGCUGGGACCAAGUCUCACACAUAUGAUGAAUCAUGGCACAGGAUCGAAUGUCACAUAUUUACUACAUAACAGGAGUUCUAUACAAAAUAAAUAAAUAAUUACAUUAUAAGGAGACAACGGUCCAGCAACCCAAAGUUGACUGGGAGACGACGACCUAGACCUCUCAUGAACUCGUCACAGCAUCCUCCAUGCGCCUCAUCUUGUGGUACCUGUUCUUGACCUGUGGGGGGGUGUGAGACAGCAAGAGUGAGCUCACAUACGUUCAUCGCUCAACAAGUUGUGGGGAAUAAUGUGCAUGAACUCGCCAAAGGUGGGAGCUCACGUGAAGUGUAAGGCUUACCAAAGAGGAUGGUUAGAGUUGAGCAUUGCUUUUAAAGUUGGUCAAAAUUUUAUUAGCAGUUACUAAGUAUAAGUAAAUACCAACCCAAUUAAGAAAAGUAAUAACAUCACCUGCGAUGCAAUGCAUAUGACAAAUUGAAUUUAGUUCCAUAAAUUAAUCAUGUGAGGGUCCGAGCUGCUCAUGACCGUGAGCACGGCUAGUAUACCAGUUUUACACUCUGCAGAGGUUGCACAUCUUUACCCACAAGUCAUGUUACCCAUCUGCCAAGGGAUCGCGACUUCCCAUACACCUCUACCGAGGAGGCGAGGCAGGGUAACACUACGAGGCCUUUACAAAGUUCCACUAGCUUUAGAAAACCCGCUACAGUUUAUAGGAAGCUCCAAUGCAGGGUUCUUGCCUGACCGCCAUCGCAGCAAAAUCAACCAAGGACCUCCCUACACUGACCACUCCCCUACUGCCCUUGCCCCUUUCGGGUAAGGUAGUCCUCCACUAGCUUUCCUAAUUAAUCAGCCAAGGGCGUCCAUAAACCCUUGUGGUAGCACUGUUUUCCCGGGUGGUCGCUCCAUGUUCCAAUUAACAUAAUGAUCUUAUCAUGGACAGUGAUAAUAAAUAGAUAAUAAAAGUGUGAUCAUGAAUAAUGUAUCUUCAUACCCAAAACAAUAUAAAGCACUAGCAAGUACUACCCAAAAAGUUCAGUGGUAAACAAGGUAUAAAGAUAGACAAACUAGGGUAACCUAUUGGGUCCCAUCAAAAUUAACCUAUGCAGAUCAUUAUGAUUAAUCAGAACAUGGCUGGGUAAAAAGAAGUGAUCAAGGGCACAACUUGCCUGGCACUUGAGAUUCCAGUUACCAGGGUGAUUCUUCAAAUCCUCGUGACCGCACUGCUAGUCGUAGCAAUACAAACAGAUAUGGUAUAGAAAAAAUUAACAUCACACCAAUCAUAAGUACAAACUGAAUAAUAAUGAUCUACGCGAUGAUACGAGAUCGUAGAUUCAAGAACCACUAGAUUCGGAGCUACGGUUAUAAAGUUAUGAUUUUCUAAAUGUUUAGGAGUCGGAUACAAAAGAAAUCAAGUGCAUAAUUUUAAUUUAUGUUUCAUAGCAAAAUAAAGUUACCGGUUAUAAACAAUAUUAUUAUGGAUUUAUUGCAACUGGAAUGCAUUAUGUUGGAGUUAAAAUAUAUUAAUUAUGCAUUUACUAAAAUUUUUUUCUAGAUUUAUUUUCACAUUUAAACCAUUUUCUAGGUUUAUCCUAAAAGAAUAUCACAUUCUUGGGCUGCGGGUAAAACUACAGAGAAGUUCAGGACUAAAUUAAUUAAAUCUAGGACCUAAAUGUAUUAAUCUUUACGCCCUACAUGGACAGCGGGUUAGUUUCGCUAUUUUUCAUGGACUCUUGGAAAACCGGCUUGCUGCUAAAAUCACGAGGAUAUUCCAAGCCGUCCGAUUCACAACCAGCGAUCCGGAUUAGAAGACCCACGUGCCGAACUGGUACACAACGCCUGCCUUUGGAUCAUAGAUCGAUGGUCCGAAAUCCAUCGUGAACUACUGUAUUACUAGCCAUCCGAUAUAAAUCCCACGGUGACUGCCCCGCCUUCGACCUCACCACCAACAGCACGCAAACAAAACUCGCACUCCUUCUCUAUCGUCUGCUAAACCCAGAGCGACGGCUGACCCAGCGGCAUCCUGCCCGGCUACGGUACCGCGCCAGCGCUCCAGGCCAUUAGCCUAUGCUCGAAAAGCAGAGGAAGAUAUCCCGCCAGAGGAGAUGCUCACCGCUGAUGAAGCGAACUGGUUGACGACGAUGCGUAGGCCCACGUCGAGGUGCAGGCACAACGGUCACAGCGAGCUCCGGCACCUGUGGCCACCACCGGUGGAGGGAAGAUCCACGCGCCAGAUGCCUGAUCUCGUGCUGGCGCAUGCGCAAGCAGUCUCCCUCGCAAAUUCCCUAGAAGGCGAGCGAUGCGUGGAACUCAGCUCCUACCCGG